UACGAAGGGGGCAAGCGUUGUCCGGAUUCAUUGGGCGUAAAGAGCUCGUAGGCGGCUUGGCAAGUCGGGUGUGAAACCUCCAGGCUCAACCUGGAGACGCCACCCGAUACUGCCAUGGCUAGAGUCCGGUAGGGGACCACGGAAUUCCUGGUGUAGCGGUGAAAUGCGCAGAUAUCAGGAGGAACACCGGUGGCGAAGGCGGUGGUCUGGGCCGGAACUGACGCUGAGGAGCGAAAGCGUGGGGAGCGAACAGG
rnacentral:rRNA from 1 species